GGACGAACGCUGGCGGCGUGCUUAACACGUGCAAGUCGAACGGAAAGGCCCUGCUUUUGUGGGGUGCUCGAGUGGCGAACGGGUGAGUAACACGUGAGUAACCUGCCCUUGACUUUGGGAUAACUUCAGGAAACUGGGGCUAAUACCGGAUAGGAGCUCCUGCUGCAUGGUGGGGGUUGGAAAGUUUCGGCGGUUGGGGGUGGACUCGCGGCUUAUCAGCUUGUUGGUGGGGUAGUGGCUUACCAAGGCUUUGACGGGUAGCCGGCCUGAGAGGGUGACCGGCCACAUUGGGACUGAGAUACGGCCCAGACUCCUACGGGAGGCAGCAGUGGGGAAUAUUGCACAAUGGGCGGAAGCCUGAUGCAGCAACGCCGCGUGCGGGAUGACGGCCUUCGGGUUGUAAACCGCUUUCGCCUGUGACGAAGCGUGAGUGACGGUAAUGGGUAAAGAAGCACCGGCUAACUACGUG
rnacentral:rRNA from 1 species